GCCUACCAUGGUGGUAACGGGUAACGGGGUGUUAGGGCACGACACCGGAGAGGGAGCCUGAGAAACGGCUACCACAUCCAAGGAUGGCAGCAGGCGCGCAAAUUACCCAAUCCCGACACGGGGAGGUAGUGACAAUAAAUAACAAUACGGGGUUCUUUCGGAUCUCGUAAUUGGAAUGAGUACAAUUUAAAUCUCUUAACGAGGAACAAUUGGAGGGCAAGUCUGGUGCCAGCAGCCGCGGUAAUUCCAGCUCCAAUAGCGUAUAUUAAAGUUGUUGCAGUUAAAAAGCUCGUAGUUGAAUUUCGGGAUCAAUAUGUUGGUCGUGCCUUGGUACGUACUGGCAUUAUUGGUUUCUACCUUCUGAAGAAUCUCGAUGUCAUUAAUUUGGUGUCUUGGGGAAUCAGGACUGUUACUUUGAAAAAAUUAGAGUGUUUAAAGCAGGCUCACGCUUGAAUACAUUAGCAUGGAAUAAUGAAAUAGGACGUUUGAUUCUAUUUUGUUGGUUUCUAGGAUCGACGUAAUGAUUAAUAGGGAUAGUUGGGGGCAUUAGUAUUCAAUUGUCAGAGGUGAAAUUCUUGGAUUUAUUGAAGACUAACUACUGCGAAAGCAUUUGCCAAGGAUGUUUUCAUUAAUCAAGAACGAAAGUUAGGGGAUCGAAGACGAUCAGAUACCGUCGUAGUCUUAACCAUAAACUAUGCCGACUAGGGAUCGGAUGAUGUUAAUUUUUUAAUGACUUAUUCGGCGCCUUACG
rnacentral:rRNA from 1 species